rnacentral:rRNA from 1 species
UCUUCUGAGGAAGAAAGCAGGGGGACCAUUUGGCCUUGCGCUGUUUGAGCGGCCGAUAUCUGAUUAGCUAGUUGGUGGGGUAAAGGCCUACCAAGGCGACGAUCAGUAGCGGGUCUGAGAGGAUGAUCCGCCACACUGGGACUGAGACACGGCCCAGACUCCUACGGGAGGCAGCAGUGGGGAAUUUUGGACAAUGGGCGCAAGCCUGAUCCAGCCAUGCCGCGUGUCUGAAGAAGGCUUCGGGUUGUAAAGGACUUUUGUCAGGGAAGAAAAGGGCGGGGUUAAUACCCCUUCUGAUGAC